rnacentral:rRNA from 1 species
ACGGAAGGCAGCAGUGGGGGAUAUUGCACAAUGGGCGCAACUCUGAUGCAGCAACGCCGCGUGAGGGAAGAAGGUCUUCGGAUUGUAAACCUCUGUUUUUGGUGAAGAAUUUUGACGGUAGCCAAAGAGGAAGCCACGGCUAACUACGUGCCAGCAGCCGCGGUAAUACGUAGGUGGCAAGCGUUGUCCGGAUUUACUGGGUGUAAAGGGUGCGCAGGCGGGACUGCAAGUUGGAUGUGAAAUACCGGGGCUCAACUCCGGAGCUGCAUCCAAAACUGUGGUUCUUGAGUGGAGUAGAGGUAAGCGGAAUUCCGAGUGUAGCGGUGAAAUGCGUAGAUAUUCGGAGGAACACCAGUGGCGACGGCGGCUUACUGGGCUCUAACUGACGCUGAGGCACGAAAGUGUGGGUAGCAAACAGGAUUAGAUACCCUGGUA